GGUGGGAUACCCAAGCGGCCAACGGGGGCAGACUGUAAAUCUGCUGGCAUUGCCUUCACAGGUUCGAAUCCUGUUCCCACCACCA
rnacentral:tRNA from 1 species